rnacentral:rRNA from 1 species
AUGAGGACUCUGUGCUGGAACUGCCGUGGGAUUGGUGAUCCUGCGACAGUUCAUGAGCUCCGCGAUCUCGUGGGGGCUAGUGCACCAUCGGUUCUAUGCAUUUUGGAGACUCAAUUAGCAAAGAAUCGAGUGGAAGGAUUGGCAGCAUCGUUAGGUUUUCAAAGUAGUUUUGCAGUAGCUAGUAGUGGUCGGAGUGGAGGUUUAUGUAUCUUUUGGAAAUCGGAGAUUAACUUGGUAAUAAAGAACUUUUCUCAGUAUCACAUUGACUCGUGGGUCUUGGAGCCAGGGAAUGUUCAAUGGCGCCUCACAUGCUUCUACGGAGAAGCCAAUAGAAACCUAAGGUAUAAAACUUGGGACACGAUAAAGAGAUUAAGAGGAGAGAGUACCUUGAUGUGGCUCUGUAUAGGAGAUUUUAACGAGAUACUCCGUCAGGAGGAGCUGAUGGGGCCUACUCCAUGGGAUAGUGCUCAAAUGGCUGGGUUCAGAGAGACGGUGGAUCUAUGCGGUCUAUCUGACAUCGGGUACAGGGGCUGGACUAGACUUUUAAGAAGCAAGUAACAGGAGGCCAGUUUUGCAGGGUCCAGCUGGACCGGGCUCUAG